rnacentral:rRNA from 1 species
CCUACGGGAGGCAGCAGUGGGGAAUAUUGCACAAUGGGGGAAACCCUGAUGCAGCGACGCCGCGUGAGUGAAGAAGUAAUUCGUUACGUAAAGCUCUAUCAGCAGGGAAGAAAAUGACGGUACCUGACUAAGAAGCCCCGGCUAACUACGUGCCAGCAGCCGCGGUAAUACGUAGGGGGCAAGCGUUAUCCGGAUUUACUGGGUGUAAAGGGAGCGUAGACGGUGAUGCAAGUCAGAAGUGAAAGCCCGGGGCUCAACUCCGGGACUGCUUUUGAAACUGUGUGACUGGAGUGCAGGAGAGGUAAGCGGAAUUCCUGGUGUAGCGGUGAAAUGCGUAGAUAUCAGGAGGAACACCAGUGGCGAAGGCGGCUUACUGGACUGUAACUGACGUUGAGGCUCGAAAGCGUGGGGAGCAAACAGGAUUAGAUACCCCAGUAGUC